CUUGUACUCCCUUCGUCCGAAAAUACUUGUCAUUGAAAUGGAUGUAUCUAGAUGUAUUUUAGUUCUAGACACAUCCAUUUUGAUGACAAGUAAUUCCGGACGGAAGGAGUACUUG
rnacentral:pre_miRNA from 1 species